CUGAUUUCAUCUCUUUUGAGCUCUGGAUCUUCACUCUCGAUGCUGCUAGUUAGCUGGUCGCCUUCCUCUCAAUCAUCUUCCUCAAUUUUCGGGGUUCGUUCUGGUGGAGAAAACCACGGAUCUUGAUUUCAUCUUCAGGUUAAUGGAUGGUGGAGAUCGAGGUGUGGGAUGGAGGGGAUGGGGUGUUGGAGGUGGAGAGGAGAAAUCAGUGUUGAAUGUCAUUACGUGUAACUUGGUUGGGAAGAAGACAAUUAGCUGAAUGCUUCUUUUAUGAAACUUGUUUCCUAGAAAAAUUAUGAAAAUAACAUUAAUCAACAUCAA